rnacentral:rRNA from 1 species
GAUGAACGCUGGCGGCGUGCUUAACACAUGCAAGUCGAACGGAAAGGCCCUGCUUUUGUGGGGUGCUCGAGUGGGGAAGGGGUGAGUAACACGUGAGUAACCUGCCCUUGUCUUUGGGAUAACUUCAGGAAACUGGGGCUAAUAUAGGAUAGGAGCUCCUGCUGCAUGGUGGGGGUUGGAAAGUUUCGGCGGUUGGGGAUGGACUGGCGGGUUAUCAGCUUGUUGGUGGGGUAGUGGAUGACCAAGGCUGUGACGGGUAGCCGGCCUGAGAGGGUGACCGGGCACAUGGGGCCUGAGGGACGGCGCAGACGGCAACGGGAGGCAGCAGUGGGGAAUAUUGCACAGUGGGCGGGAGCCUGAUGCAGCAACGCCGCGUGCGUGAUGACGUCUUGCGGGGUGUGAACCGCUGUCGCCUGAGACGAAGCGUGAGUGACGGUAACGGGUAAAGAAGCACCGGCUAACUACGUG